UUUUAAUGCGAUUUUUGGCAAAGCUGACGAAUAAUAUGACGAUAAAACGCGAGUCCCGGAGUGAUUUGUAAUCCAUAAAUUAUCUAGUGAUAGAGAGGCGUCUAAUACAGACCUAAAGGAUGGCGUCAUUGGAUUGGAGGUGUUUUUAUGACAGGAGACGUUUCUUGGACAUUUACUACACGAAUAGCAUAAUUAUUCAGUCACCAUGAAAAACAUUAAAUUCUGGAAAUUUCGAUUCUUGUCUCCAAAGAGAAAGUAAUUUACAUUCUACUCAAAAACGCUGCUAAAAACACCAAUAUCCAUUCAAAACAACCAGUAAUUAAUUAAACCAUGGUUAAAGAUAAAA